CUAGCUGUUGCUGGGCACCAGAGCUACAAACUUACAUGGGGUUAUGAUCAGUGCAAGCUAAGUAAUGGGGCAGCACAAAACAGAAGUUUAUGAAAUGAGUAAGCUGAGGAAGAGGAGAGGAGAAAGAGAGGAAGAGCAAGAGAGAAAAGGGGAGAGGGUGAGACAAAGGAAGGAGGGAAGGGAAAAGCAGGGGGAGAGAAAUGGGUCCGGAGUGGGGGAAUGAAGAGUAAGUGUGUGCAGAGAAAGUGAAAGAGUUUAGUUGGUUAUAGUGCUCCCCGCCAAGGUAUGUUCACCCAGAACCUCGGAAUAAGACCUUAUUUGGUGCACACUUACUAAGAACCAGGAAGAAAAAAAAGAAAAUAACAAAUUUAAAAAGAAAAAGAAAAAAUACCUUAUUGGAGAAAAAGGUCUUGGCAGAUGUAAUUGAGUUAAAGAUCUAGAGAUGAGAUAAUCCUGGAUUUAGGGUGGGCCCUAAAUCCAAUGACUGGUGUCUUCAUAUGGGAAAGGACGGAGACAUGACACCCAGAGACACAGCGGCGGGGCCAUGUAAAGAUGGAGGCAGAGAUUGGAGUAAUGUGGCCACAAGCCAAGAAAUGCCAAGGAUUGCUGAAGCCACCGGAAGCUGGGGGAGGCAGGGGAUGGAGGCUGCUUUCUCAGAGCCUCCAGAAGGAACCAACCCAGCCAAUACCUUCAUUUUGGACUUCAGGCCUCCAGAACUGUGAGAAAACAAACUUCUGUUGUUUGAAGCCACCCAGUUUGUGGUGACUUGCUAUGGCAGCCCUAGGAAUCUAUUUCAUCCUAAGAGAGAGGGAAAGGACAAGAGGAGGAGGAGGGAGGGCAAGGGAAGAAAGCAAAAGUGAAAGCAGGAAGGAAGAGGAGAGAGAAAAUCGAAGCAGAGGCACAGAGAGAGGUGCAGUACCAAGUGCUGUACAGGCAUUGUCUUCGCGGAUGCACCUGCUGCGACCUCACAUUAAAAGGAGAAACGGACGCUGAUCAGGGAGGAAAAGACCCUGCCCGAGGACCCUGGAAGAGCUGGUUCGCAAAGUGUGAUCCCUGGAACAGCAGCAUUAAGAAAGGCAGCUUGUCAGAAAGGCACCUUCUGGAUUCCUAAC
rnacentral:lncRNA from 10 species